GAGUGUUACAUUUCUAGACAUCCAUUGGAACGAUACACAAAAGAUUAGCAUGGUCUUUGCUUAAAGAUUACAUGUACAAAUCGACAAAUGGUCCAAAUUUUU
rfam:Picea glauca, whole genome shotgun sequence.